rnacentral:rRNA from 1 species
UACACUCCUACGGGAGGCAGCAGUGGGGAAUAUUGGACAAUGGGCGCAAGCCUGAUCCAGCCAUGCCGCGUGAGUGAUGAAGGCCCUAGGGUUGUAAAGCUCUUUCACCGGUGAAGAUAAUGACGGUAACCGGAGAAGAAGCCCCGGCUAACUUCGUGCCAGCAGCCGCGGUAAUACGAAGGGGGCUAGCGUUGUUCGGAUUUACUGGGCGUAAAGCGCACGUAGGCGGACUAUUAAGUCAGGGGUGAAAUCCCGGGGCUCAACCCCGGAACUGCCUUUGAUACUGGUAGUCUUGAGUGCGAGAGAGGUGAGUGGAAUUCCGAGUGUAGAGGUGAAAUUCGUAGAUAUUCGGAGGAACACCAGUGGCGAAGGCGGCUCACUGGCUCGAUACUGACGCUGAGGUGCGAAAGCGUGGGGAGCAAACAGGAUUAGAAACCCCAGUAGUCCCAUGA